AGUGAACGCUGGCGGUAGGCCUAACACAUGCAAGUCGAACGGCAGCACAGUAAGAGCUUGCUCUUACGGGUGGCGAGUGGCGGACGGGUGAGGAAUACAUCGGAAUCUACUUUUUCGUGGGGGAUAACGUAGGGAAACUUACGCUAAUACCGCAUACGACCUACGGGUGAAAGCAGGGGAUCUUCGGACCUUGCGCGAUUGAAUGAGCCGAUGUCGGAUUAGCUAGUUGGCGGGGUAAAGGCCCACCAAGGCGACGAUCCGUAGCUGGUCUGAGAGGAUGAUCAGCCACACUGGAACUGAGACACGGUCCAGACUCCUACGGGGGGCAGCAGUGGGGAAUAUUGGAUAAUGGGCGCAAGCCUGAUCCAGCCAUACCGCGUGGGUGAAGAAGGCCUUCGGGUUGUAAAGCCCUUUUGUUGGGAAAGAAAAGCAGCAGGUUAAUACCCCGCUGUUCUGACGGUACCCAAAGAAUAAGCACCGGCUAACUUCGUG
rnacentral:rRNA from 1 species